GGAGUCUCCCGGACGGCACGAGAAAGAGAUAGCGGAUAACGCCCCCGAGACGUCAUUCCCACACGAUAAAUUAAUGCUGUUAUGGCGUUGUCUGCGUUAGUAGACUCGGCAAGUCUAUCAAGACGGAGGCGCAUCUUCGUCAUAUUCUCGAAUAGGAAACGCGCGUCGUUAAACUGUAGUGGGAAACGAAGCGGCCCAAGGAAAACGGGAAACGACAAUGAAAUUUCUAUCAAGAAUCAGCAUCGUCGUUAUGAAACGAAUAACGGUCGCGGUACCAGUGCGAGUCCGUGACACGGAAGAAAAGUUCCGCUCACGAUUUGGGACGGUGAAACGUGCUGACAAAAAGUGUCUUUCGCGAGAGAGGAGAGGGUAGAGAGAGAAAAUAAAAGAAACAAUGAUCGACGUUAGCACGAUUCCAUCAAUAGUCGAUUAGAACGUUUAUUGUGAGUCUUGUGGAAAAGGUUGGAGAAUACAUAUCGGUAAGGCAAGAAAGUAGGUCAGCUUAGAGCGGGCAACAAGAGACAGAGAGGCAAGUUCACGGGCAAACUGCAGCACGCCGCGUCUCCAACACAGACUCUCUUCGUGCCUUAGAAGCCAACCAGCGACAACAUCACUGCCAUUGUGGAACGCAGCCUCGAGCACUGGUACGACUAAUCAUUUCGUCUACCGAGAAGAGUAGAUCGACGUAUUCGGGCAAUGAACUUUUGACUAAACAAAGAAAAUUUAAAAAAAAAGAACAAGAAAAUAAAAAGGGGAAAAAAUGAAUAAAAGAAUGAAAAUAAAGCUUCGCACUGCCAUUCGGAUGAUAUCGGCUACCUAGUCGUUUCUUCUCCAUUCUGUUCGACAGGAGGAACACUGCUCAUGCACUUACGCGCACGCUCGAUCACUCAUCAACGAGGAGACCAUCCACGUGCUUCUAGCGGACGUGGCAUUAAGGAUCGACAUGUGUUACUAUCCUUUUUUCUCUUUAUAUUAUUAUUAUUAUUAUUAUUAUUAUUAUUAUUAUUAUUAUUAUCAUUAUUAUCAUUAUUAUCAUUAUUAUCAUUAUUAUUAUCAUUAUUUUUAUCAUUAUUAUUAUUAUUUUUAUUAUUUUUAUUAUUUUUAUUUUUAUUUUUAUUAUUAUUAUUAUUAUUAUUUAAAUUAUAGAGGAUACCUCGUAAGUACUAUUCGUUGUAUACGUUUUACAAUUAGUCGUAUUAUUAGGCGAGGUCGUAUCUCUCCUAGUAGAUACGGAGGAGGAGAAAUGCCGCGAGUUACGUGCGAUGCUUUUAUUAACCUGCAACCAAGAAGAUGCCGGGUGUGAAGCCUCGUCCUUAACCUUUUCCCUGCUACUUUGUUUUACAACUGUUAUUGCGGUCUCUGUAGGCACCUAAUGCCGUUACUGUUGUGCUUACUUACUAUUCUCUCGCUACUGGAAUGAGUAGUACGCACACCAGGAAAGACAACGACGCGAUCAACAAGCAAUUCGAGAAAUAUAUGUAUUUACGUACAACAUACACAAUGCAUAGUUCAUACAUGUCAUGAGACAUGCACACAUGUGCGCAGAGAUAGAUACACAGCUGCUUGUAACUUUUUCAAUCAAUACUACUUAUUUUUUUUUUGGAUAGAAUAGAAGAAAAACAGUGAGAUUUUCGAUAAUCAGCAGUUUUUCUUUUUUUUCUCCCACUUUAUUUCUUUUUGGUUUUUUUUCUUUUUUGUUUUAUACAAUAAUUUAUAUUAUUACUAUUAAAAGGAAAUAAUCGCUUGAGUGUUCAUUGACCCGUUCACUCGUACUCUCCCCAUUGCGGAAUAUACUUAAGAGACAUGUGAGAUUUACACAUCAGCACAAACGUGCGGCUCACACACACACCGACGCUCAUCCCUAGGAAAGAGAGAAGGAGAGAAAAAGAGUGCACGCAAGUAGACACACGUGGCCAUACACGUACACACACACACACACACACACACACACACACACACAUAUAUAUAUAUAUAUAUAUAUAUAUAUACUUAUACGUAUAAGCCGAGCGGCAGCACUUCUCGCGUCGUCAGGAAGCAGUUAACCGUGCACCCGUGCAUUGUUACACAUAACUUCUUUCCAUCGCGUCUCGCGGUGUGUUGUAACGCGCGAUCCACGCGUUUUAAAACCACGUCAACCACGUACUUUGCAUUCUUCUCGCAAUACGAACAUCCACGCGAGUAAAAGGCCGCCGCUACUCUUCGUUUACUACGUACAUGCUUCUGUGUGUGUGUGCGCGAGCGCGUGUACAUAAGGCCCGCGUCUUGUACGUGCGUCUCUAUUCGUUGCGGUCGCGUUCCCUGGACGAUCAUCUUUCUCUUUCUUUUCUCGCAAUCCCUUGCGAGAACGAUCUUCCAUCGGUUUCUUUUCUAUCUUUACAUUUAUAUAUAUAUAUAUAUAUAUAUAUAUAUAUAUAUAUGUAUGUAUGUAUGUAUGUAUAUAUGCAUAUAUAUAUACUUAAACGACAUACAGCACAUACACACUCACAAACACACACGAAUAUACGACAAUGUGUACGAGUUACCGUAUUUUUUCUUACUUUAAAGGACCGAUCGAUAAGCUACUCCUCAAGCGAAUCGUUCGUUCUAUCCUAUCGUUAUAUCUCUUCCUAUUCUCUCUCACACUAAAUAUUUUCUUAUCAGUUUACU